GUAGGGUGCAAGCGUUAAUCGGAAUUACUGGGCGUAAAGCGUGCGCAGGCGGUUCGYUAAGACAGAUGUGAAAUCCCCGGGCUUAACCUGGGAACUGCAUUUGUGACUGGCGGGCUAGAGUAUGGCAGAGGGGGGUAGAAUUCCACGUGUAGCAGUGAAAUGCGUAGAGAUGUGGAGGAAUACCGAUGGCGAAGGCAGCCCCCUGGGCCAAUACUGACGCUCAUGCACGAAAGCGUGGGGAGCAAACAGGAUUAGAUACCCUGGUAGUCCACGCCCUAAACGAUGUCAACUAGUUGUYGGGUCUUCAUUGACUUGGUAACGUAGCUAACGCGUGAAGUUGACCGCCUGGGGAGUACGGUCGCAAGAUUAAA
rnacentral:rRNA from 1 species